GACGAACGCUGGCGGCGUGCCUAACACAUGCAAGUCGAGCGGAGACAGCAGUAAUGUUGUUUUAGCGGCGGACGGGUGAGUAACGCGUGGGCAACCUACCUAUAACUGGGGGAUAACACAGGGAAACUUGUGCUAAUACCGCAUAACAUCACGAGAUGACAUCUUCUUGUGAUCAAAGGAGUAAUCCGGUGAUAGAUGGGCCCGCGUCCGAUUAGCUAGUUGGCGGUGUAAUAGACCACCAAGGCGACGAUCGGUAGCCGAACUGAGAGGUUGAUCGGCCACAUUGGGACUGAGACACGGCCCAGACUCCUACGGGAGGCAG
rnacentral:rRNA from 1 species